rnacentral:lncRNA from 1 species
CCAGAUAUGCUAUAAUGUUCCCUUGGUGGCAACAAAAAAACUCAUGUGUGCAAUGUUUGACACGAAGUACAUAAUAUGCAUUUAGCCGUCAUGUAAUGCAAUUGAACAUGAUAUAAUGCAAAAGCAAAGUUCCUGUAUGCAAAACGGGAUAAGUACAUGCAAUUGCACUACCUUAACCAUCAACCCUACGUGCAUGCAGUUGCACUAAAAGUAAUUACAUUUCAGUGUUUGGGGCUUUCCGG